GACGAACCGAGCGAACGUUGUUCGGAAUCACUGGGCUUAAAGGGCGCGUAGGCGGGUUCUCAAGUCCGGGGUGAAAUCCCACAGCUCAACUGUGGAACUGCCUCGGAUACUGGGUGCCUCGAGGGUGGUAGGGGUAUGCGGAACUAUCGGUGGAGCGGUGAAAUGCGUUGAUAUCGAUAGGAACUCCGGUGGCGAAGGCGGCAUACUGGACCACAUCUGAUGCUGAGGCGCGAAAGCCAGGGGAGCGAACGGG
rnacentral:rRNA from 1 species